UCAAGGACUACACUUGUGCAGACUUAUUAUACAAAUUCGUAGAUCUUACUAAAACAACUUAAGUACCUAGGCUUAACGAUGACGUACUUUCCAUAGCAGAUGUGUGCUAAGCAUAGAGUUUUUUGUACUAUUCUUCCUGGAAGGAGAUUGACUAGUUGGUGAAUAAAUCCCUUAUUUUGACUUUCAAUUUCACAAAAUAAACAUGAUGGGUCAAGUUACCUUCACAUGCCAGCUCAGGAUAAACGCACCUGGUCCAAUGUGGUAGCUAUAUAUUGCAAUGAUGAGAUUCCUUGUCCCAACAUUGAUUGAUGCCAUUACCUAGAUAUAAGACAUCUUGCUCCACUACCUGCAACGCAAAAAAGGAGUUCUUCAGAGGAAUUCUUUUAGUUUCUCCUCAAGAUAAAUGAUUUUAAUAUUCACUUCACAAAUAGAACGAUACUAUAUGAAAUUUUUUUCUUUGUAUAAAGCCGAUAUGAAUUCCACAUCUGCUAAUAGUAUAGGUUGUUGGAAAUAAAGAUGGCCACGCUACAUUAAUAACACAAGUCCAGGAAAUGUUCCAAAUUCUGGCAGCAGUGAUAAUCAUAAAUAAGCAUCCAGUCAGGUCAAAUAACAGAUAUAGUAUCCAAGACAAAAGAUUGUAACACUAGAGCGAUAGAAGGCUCACAAAACUGUGAAAGCGACACAAACAAGUUUGAAUAUUGAUAUACUCAACCAAAUACGGUUCAGUGCUAAAACAUUCACAAGUAAUUGCCGAAGGGAAACACAAAAUAAAAUGUGAAUGUUACGUGCAUAGCUUUGCACUGUUAAGGUCAUGACACCAGCCCAACAAGCAUGGCAUCAACUAUUACUUCACAAGGCAACUGAAUUGCCGCACAUACAGGAACUAUUACUCUACAUGAAACUAUAUCCCAAUUUCUUGCUCUCUAGUUUGAGAGUAAUUUGGUUUAGUUCAUCUUUACAACAGUUCUAUGUUAUUAGGAACACCAUAACAGCUAAAUAAUUCCAAUAGCAUUUAUGUCAACCAUGCAUUAUGUUCCAAUAUAGUAUACACAAUAGCACAACAUAAAUUUUCCAUUAGAUUUGGAUGGUUAAGAUCAUAACUGCAGCUUUGUGUACUGCCAACUUAUACAAGCAUGACAGCUUUAUAUGCAUAGCUUUGCACUAUUAAGGUCAUGACAACAGCCCAGUUAUUCAAGCAUGACAUUAGCUAUUCCUUCACAAGUCAACUGAAUAGUUGCAUAUAAAAGAACUAUUACUCUACAAGAAAUUAGUAACUCCCAACUUCUUGCUCUCUAAUUCGAGAGUGCUAUGGUUCAGUUAAUCUGUACAAUAACUUUAAGUCAUUAGGAACACCACAACAACUCAAAAUUUUCAAUAGCAUUCAUGUCAACGAUGCAUUAUGUUCCAGUAUACACAGUAGCAGUAGGACACUUCUAUUUUGUCUCAGCGCAAUCUAAAACAGCUUGCUGAAAAAGGGGUUUGUCUGCUUAAUCUUAGUAACCAGUAAAUCUACUUGUAAACAUAAAAUUCUAAAAACUAAGUGAUCAAAAUUAUUUAUUAAGUUGUGAUUGUGUGCAAGAAUGUGUCAGUUGGAGAACAUGAUAUUAACAGUAGGCGAACCAUCAUGGAAGAAUAACGACAUAAAAGUCGAAUGUCAACAUAUCGCAAUUUUUGUUCUAUAAGAUAAGCCAUAUGAAAAAUAUGAACUCUCUUUUUCGCCAUAUAAAAAAAGAACAACAUAAAGGUCCAAUGUCAACUGAGCCUGUAGUUUCCUGCUCUCUAAUUUGAGAGUAGCAUGUUUCAGUUCAUCAAUGAGAACCCAGCCCCCAUGGGAAUAGAUUAUCUUUUCCAAUAAAAGUUUCCACAAUGGACCCCCAAUUUCAUUAAGAGAUCAGAGCCCCUUUUGUUCAGAUAAGUGACCAAAAUUACCUUAGUGACGGGAUGACGAAAAUGCCCCUUUUGUUCAGACGCCCCAUAGAAGAAUUCAUCUGGUCUUUCAAAGUUGAAACCAAGUACUACUUCUGGGAACUAAAUAGAACAUAAUGUUAUAGUAUGAUAUUUUCACAAGGAAACAUUUACGAAAUGCUACAUGUAUACUGUUGUACCAAAGAAUUAGUAGAAAACUGGAGAUGUGUUUACUGGACAAGCACAUAGUCCUAUAUGCCAAUCAGAAGUAAACAGUGAGGGCAUCCAACAUUUGCUUGCUAUCAUCGAUACAUAC
rnacentral:lncRNA from 1 species